AAAUGCCUAAAGAUCAACUUUUGAGAGGCCAACUCAGAAGAUGCAUUAUGAAUACUCUACUAGCAAGGAUUAAGAAUGAUCUAUACUAAAACAUCCUAGCUCUAACCUAAUCACCCUUAAUCUCCCUAACCCAUGAAUUCAAAAGGUGAUUACUCACUAAUCUCCAUGAUUCCUCUUAAACCCAUAUUGGAUUUCAGAUUAAUCAUGUAGAGAAAUACAGAUAAUAAAUUAGAAAUCAACAGGAUAACAUAUGAUCAAAUCAAUCAAAGAGAUGAACUUUUCAAGAGGUUUUUGGUGGUUUUCUCCAAGAUAAAGAUAAUCUGCCUCCUUGGCUUACAAAAGGUACUUAAACUUAGGUUUAGAAAGUGUAAAACAUCAAGAUAAAUGACCAAAAGGUUCCUGGAAAAUCAUAAGUUUCGACUGAGUAAAUGACGCGCAGAGACUUCGUGGUGUCGCUCCGGGAAGUCGCUCUGGCUUGGGAGCGACCUCAGGUGGUCGCUCUGGAAAGUCGCUCCAGGCCUAUUUUUGUGCCUCCAAAGUGAUGAAAAGGCGAGUGACGUAGGUGGGUCGCUCUGGAGGUCGCUCUGGGUUGGGAGAUACCUUAUGGUGUUGCUCUGGAAGGUCAGUCUGCGAUGCUCGACAAGGAUGGAUAUGCCUCUAGUAAAUUUAUCAUAACUCCUUCAUUACAUCUCCACAUGACUUGAAACCACUUCCACUAGAAAGCUAACUCAAUUUGCUGUGUUUCCAAAAAUUCUUAGCAACAGAAGAUUUCUAUAAGGUCUCCAUCCAUGCUCAUCUUUCACCCCCUUUUAGAUCACAAUGCUCCCAAACAUCUCAAAUCACUCCAUGGCACACUCCAACACCUAAUAAGGACAAUGAAUGCAAUAUGGACUCUAAAGAUUCCUAAUUCUUAAUCUAUAUGAUCAAAAUGUACAAGAAUUAAUUGCUAAAAUCAUGUAACUAUACAAGAUAUCAUAAACUAGAAUUAAGCCCGUCAGGUCCUGGCGCUUUGUUUGGGUUGAGGGAGAACAUAAGUUUAGUGAUUUCUACAUUUGUAGGCAUCAAGAAAAUAAUGUUCCUUUGUUGAUGGCUACAUCUGAACGGUGUUAGACUCCUGAACCAAUCAGACGGGGUACAACAAACCAACGGUAGGUGAUCAAGGCCAAGUACGGCCUUGAAAUGGGCAAUGGCGUGAGCACACAUCUCUAACGGAUCAGUAAUGAUAGCACCAAAUAGUAGAAGGAACGAGUGGAUGGCAAUGAAGUUAGCUCUCACUUGACAGACACGAUGGAAGUUCAGUUCAUGUUCUUCAGCAAACGUUUGAGGAGUUGGAUCAGUUAGAGCGUGUACCUGCACAAGUUGUAAUAAACACUUCCAACACAGAGACGCAAGGUUGGCAGACACAUUUCCGACGAGCAACCAAGCAUUUGUAACAACCUCUAGGAAGCUCGGAUGUUUGGUUAGGUAGUUUAGGAAACAGAAGGGUUGGGUACCGGCUCUGGGAAGUUGGAAAGUGAUAUUACGUGUAUACGCACACCAAAUAACCUAAUGUGCACACUACCACAAUCGAAUGGUAUGUCGAUGUAGCACUUUAGGAUCGAAUCCACAGAGACCAAUUGUUACACUUUAUUUCUAUAUGAUCAAUAUUAAGCUAAAACAAUAUGGGGGUUUUAAGAUUGAGGUAUUAUAACAGAAAAUAAAAGACUAGUUAAAAAGUUUUCAGAUGAUUAAAAGAGCUAGGUUCAGGGUGAUUCAUUGGGAUACUUAGGAUCAUGAGCUACACAACUAUACAGGAAAACAAUACGAGCCAAUCUAGAACUUGAACAACAAGAAUAGAUAAACCCACUGUCGUGGUGUCUACCAAUUUAUCAAGCAAUCCUAAUGCCUAAACUGUCUUUUGGAUCAGAGAAUGAUGACAAGCAUUAAGUUCAGAUUCAAUUGGUUCACGAUUCGCCUUAACAUCAGCUUUCGUUGGCUAAGGACAAAUCGCCUAUCUAUGCUAUUUCCAGUAACCUAAAACACUUUUGAUGAAUAGAUUAAACUUGUGAUAAGAUGUUAAAUGGCCAGUUUAACAUAAGCAAUAAGCAUAACAAUAUACAGAGAUAUCAAAGAA